GGAACUACGUCUAUGAUCAACAUGUACCCCUUCUUUGGUUUCCUUAUCUCCAACUUCUUCUCCGUCUUCAUUGCCAUUUCUUUGCAUGCAUUUCUUGUUCAUCCUGGUCUUCAUUUUCUUAUCUUUCUCCACCAAGGUUUCUUCCUUUGAUCUCCUUUCGAAGCUCCCUCUUCUCUUUUUGAAUGGAAAUGCUUUCUCACCCUCACACCAUCUCCCAUCUUGGUGGAAAGAAGUUGAUCGUUGAAAAGCCAUAGUUGGUGUUUUUGCACCCAGGAAAACUCCUCC
rnacentral:misc_RNA from 1 species